rnacentral:rRNA from 1 species
AACGGAGGGUGCAAGCGUUGUUCGGAAUUACUGGGCGUAAAGCGCGUGCAGGUGGUCUUUUAAGUUUCGUGUGAAAUCCCAUGGCUUAACCAUGGAACGGCACGGAAAACUGGAAGGCUUGAGUACGGGAGAAGAGGGCGGAAUUCCCAGUGUAGAGGUGAAAUUCGUAGAUAUUGGGAGGAACACCGGUGGCGAAAGCGGCUCUCUAGACCGAUACUGACGCUCAUACGCGAGAGCGUGGGUAGCAAACAGG